AUACGGAGGGUCCGAGCGUUAUCCGGAAUCAUUGGGUUUAAAGGGUCCGUAGGCGGGAAUCUAAGUCAGUGGUGAAAUCUUGCAGCUCAACUGUAAAAUUGCCAUUGAUACUGGAUUUCUUGAAUUAGUGUGAAGUGGUUAGAAUGUGUAGUGUAGCGGUGAAAUGCAUAGAUAUUACACAGAAUACCAAUUGCGAAGGCAGAUCACUAACACUAUAUUGACGCUAAGGGACGAAAGCGUGGGGAGCGAACAGGAUUAGAUACCCCGGUAGUCC
rnacentral:rRNA from 1 species